rnacentral:rRNA from 1 species
GACAGAGGAGCCAAGCGUUGUCCGGACUGACUGGGCGUAAAGCGCCCGCAGGCGGCCGUGCACGUGGGGUGUGAAAGCGCUCGGCUUAACUGAGCGAGGCCAUCCCAUACGGCGCGGCUCGAGCCGUCCAGAGGCCGGUGGAAUUGCCGGUGUAGUGGUGAAAUGCGUAGAUAUCGGGAGGAACACCAGUGGCGAAGGCGGCUUCCUGGCCUGUUCUUGACGCUGAGGCGCGAAAGCUAGGGGAGCAAACGGG